rnacentral:rRNA from 1 species
GAUGAACGCUAGCUACAGGCUUAACACAUGCAAGUCGAGGGGAAACGACAUCGAAAGCUUGCUUUUGAUGGGCGUCGACCGGCGCACGGGUGAGUAACGCGUAUCCAACCUGCCCACCACUUGGGGAUAACCUUGCGAAAGUAAGACUAAUACCCGAUGAUAUCUCUAGACGACAUCUGAAAGGGAUUAAAGAUUUAUCGGUGAUGGAUGGGGAUGCGUCUGAUUAGCUUGUUGGCGGGGUAACGGCCCACCAAGGCAACGAUCAGUAGGGGUUCUGAGAGGAAGGUCCCCCCACAUUGGAACUGAGACACGGUCCAAACUCCUACGGGAGGCAGCAGUGAGGAAUAUUGGUCAAUGGACGAGAGUCUGAACCAGCCAAGUAGCGUGCAGGAUGACGGCCCUCCGGGUUGUAAACCCUCUUUUGUUUGGGAAUAAAGUGCGGACGUGUCCCGCAUUGCAUGUACCAUUUGAAUAGGACCGGCUAAUUCCGUG